rnacentral:rRNA from 1 species
UACGUAGGUGGCAAGCGUUGUCCGGAUUUACUGGGUUUAAAGGGUGCGCAGGCGGAUAUGUAAGUCAGUGGUGAAAUCUCCGGGCUUAACCCGGAAACUGCCGUUGAUACUAUAUAUCUUGAAUGCUGUGGAGGUAAGCAGAAUAUGUCAUGUAGCGGUGAAAUGCUUAGAGAUGACAUAGAAUACCUAUUGCGAAGGCAGCUUACUACGCAGAUAUUGACGCUCAUGCACGAAAGCGUGGGGAUCAAACAGG